rnacentral:rRNA from 1 species
GGGGAAUAUUGGACAAUGGGGGCAACCCUGAUCCAGCGACGCCGCGUGUGUGAAGAAGGCCUGCGGGUUGUAAAGCUCUUUUGUCAGGGAAGAAACGGUUCCGGCUAAUAUCCGGAAUCAAUGACGGUACCUGAAGAAUAAGCACCGGCUAACUACGUGCCAGCAGCCGCGGUAAUACGUAGGGUGCAAGCGUUAAUCGGAAUUACUGGGCGUAAAGCGUGCGCAGGCGGUUUUGUAAGUCUGUCGUGAAAUCCCCGGGCUCAACCUGGGAAUUGCGAUGGAGACUGCAAGGCUAGAAUCUGGCAGAGGGGGGUAGAAUUCCACGUGUAGCAGUGAAAUGCGUAGAGAUGUGGAGGAACACCGAUGGCGAAGGCAGCCCCCUGGGUCAAGAUUGACGCUCAUGCACGAAAGCGUGGGGAGCAAACAGGAUUAGAUACCCUGGUAGUCCACGCCCUAAACGAUGUCUACUAGUUGUCGGGUUUUAAUUAACUUGGUAACGCAGCUAACGCGUGAAGUAGACCGCCUGGGGAGUACGGUCGCAAGAUUAAAACUCAAAGGAAUUGACGGAAGC